rnacentral:rRNA from 1 species
CCCUUAGAUGUCCUGGGCCGCACGCGCGCUACACUGACAUGUUCAACAAGUUUCUCCUAGUUCGACAGGACUGGGAAAUCUUUGAACGCAUGUCGUGAUAGGGAUAGAUCAUUGCAAUUAUUGAUCUUGAACGAGGAGUUCCUAGUAAACGCGAGUCAUCAGCUCGCAUUGAUUACGUCCCUGCCCUUUGUACACACCGCCCGUCGCACCUACCGAUUGAAUGUUUCGGUGAAGAUUCCGGAUAGGACUGAUUUGAUUUAUUUCAUUUCUGACCUAAAAGCUAUCUAAACCUCAACAUUUAGAGGAAGGUGAAGUCGUAACA